UAAGGUACACGCGCCAAGCGCUGGUACGUGGUUCGUGUGCUAGAGAGAGCAGCGGAUCUUAGUGACCGAGGGGAAAUCUGCUAUAAAUACCCGCGGCGAGAAGGCAUCGGAUUAGUUGAAUCGAGAGAGAGAGGAAGGCUCCUAGGAAGGUCAACCUACAUCUUUUGGGAACUUGAGUAGCAACUCAGCAAAGGGGAGACGUGAUGGAUGGAAAAAAUUCUUUAGAGAGUAGCAAGCCUAUGACAGUAUAUGUGUGGGACAUGGAUGAGACACUUAUUUUGUUGAAAUCCUUGUUGGAUGGGACAUAUGCAGAGGCCUUUAAUGGUUCAAAGGACAAAAGAAAGGGCAUUGAGAUCGGGAAGCAAUGGGAGAACCACAUCCUUCAAGUUUGUGAUGAACAUUUCUUCUAUGAAGAGAUUGAGGACUACAAUGAGCCAUAUCUUGAUGCUUUGAAUGAAUAUGACGAUGGCCGGGACCUCUCCAAGUAUAAUUUUCACAAUGAUGGAUUUGGUUUUCCAUAUGAUGAUUGGAAUAAAAGGAAAAUGGCAUAUAGACAUCGUGCGAUUCAAGAGAAGUACUCACAGGGUUUAUAUAAGAUACUUGACCAACAGACUGUAAAAAAUUGGAAUGAUAUGUACAAUUUAACUGAUAGCUACACUGACGGAUGGCUUUCGUCAGCACAUGCUCUGUUGAAGCAAACAUUGAAAAGGACUAAAUGCCAGAAUAUUAACGUCUUGGUUACUUCAGGGUCACUGAUUCCUAGUCUUGCCAAGUGCUUGCUUUAUCAGUUGGAUGAUGUUAUCCCAGCUAAUAAUGUUUACAGCUCAUGGGAAGUAGGCAAACUACGGUGCUUCUCAUGGAUCAAGGAAAGGUUUGCUAGUGAAAAUGUCAGGUUCUGUGUGAUUGGAGAUGGAAAUGAGGAAUGCGAAGCUGCUCAAACAAUGGGAUGGCCCUUCAUUCGAAUAGAUCAUCGACCAAUUAGUCCAUAUCGCUUUCCAGGGCAUUCUCUACUGAAACAAAAUACAGAAACACAAUCUUGUCUAUCAGGACCGUAGAUCACUGAUAUUAUACUUGAUUUCAUCACUAUCCGGUACCAGAAAAUAUCAAUGUCUUGGUUAACUCAGGAUGGCUGAUUCCAGUUCUCAUCAAUAUUUCUCAAUGAGUCAGAGUUGCAAUCUCAGCUAAUAAUGAUCUUGAAGUAGAGAAACUUAACUGGAGGGUUAGGUGGCCAAAACAUCAGGUUCCUUGUGAUCAGAGAUGAAAAAGAGGAACGCCAAAGCUCAUUGAUGUCCAGCUCAUGUCUAGUUCCUUUUGAUCGGAGACGGGAAAAGAGGAGUGUGAAAGUACAAUCAUGGAAGGCAAAACCCUCUUUAUUGACUCCAACUUCCCUAUUUAUUAUCGUCUUCAUUGCAGCCCUUGAUGACCGCUGAAGGUAGGACAAAGCAUUGAUCUCCUCCUAGAGUCGCCGUGGUGGAUGGAAAUUAUAUCAUUUAAGCUUCAAGUUUGUUUUUGCCGUGUGUAUCUUGUUUCGUUCUUAUAGCAAGAUUGUUUUUCUAAGGUUGCUAAAUUGAUUGAGGAGUUGAUUCUUAAUUGUUUAUACAUCCACGCUUACUCAAUAAAUAUGUACUUAGUAUCA